rnacentral:rRNA from 1 species
ACGGAAGGCAGCAGUGGGGAAUAUUGCACAAUGGGGGAAACCCUGAUGCAGCGACGCCGCGUGAGUGAAGAAGUAUCUCGGUAUGUAAAGCUCUAUCAGCAGGGAAGAAAAUGACGGUACCUGACUAAGAAGCCCCGGCUAACUACGUGCCAGCAGCCGCGGUAAUACGUAGGGGGCAAGCGUUAUCCGGAUUUACUGGGUGUAAAGGGAGCGUAGACGGUUCUGCAAGUCUGAUGUGAAAGGCAGGGGCUCAACUCCUGGACUGCAUUGGAAACUGUAGAACUAGAGUGCCAGAGAGGUAAGCGGAAUUCCUAGUGUAGCGGUGAAAUGCGUAGAUAUUAGGAGGAACACCAGUGGCGAAGGCGGCUUACUGGACGGUAACUGACGUUGAGGCUCGAAAGCGUGGGGAGCAAACAGGAUUAGAUACCCUGGUA